GAUGAACGCUGGCGGCGUGCUUAACACAUGCAAGUCGAACGGAAAGGCUCCUGCUUGCAGGGGUACUCGAGUGGCGAACGGGUGAGUAACACGUGGGUGAUCUGCCUUGCACUUCGGGAUAAGCCUGGGAAACUGGGUCUAAUACCGGAUAGGACCACAUUUUGGAUGGUGUGGUGGAAAGUUUUUCGGUGUGGGAUGAGCUCGCGGCCUAUCAGCUUGUUGGUGGGGUAAUGGCCUACCAAGGCGUCGACGGGUAGCCGGCCUGAGAGGGUGUACGGCCACAUUGGGACUGAGAUACGGCCCAGACUCCUACGGGAGGCAGCAGUGGGGAAUAUUGCACAAUGGGCGCAAGCCUGAUGCAGCGACGCCGCGUGGGGGAUGACGGCCUUCGGGUUGUAAACUCCUUUCGCUAGGGACGAAGCGCAAGUGACGGUACCUGGAGAAGAAGCACCGGCUAACUACGUG
rnacentral:rRNA from 1 species